rnacentral:lncRNA from 1 species
GCUAGGGAUCCCCCAAAAAGGGAUGUGAUGAGAAUUUGAACCAGUUGGCACCCAUAUUAGUAAAUCUGCAGAGUAUUAUGACUUCUAAUAUAAACAUGAAAAUAUUACAUCGCUGAUGGACUAAAGCAGUCAAAAGUAAAAUAACUAGGUUAAAAAAUUAAUAUUAGAUAAAGCAAGCUCUUAAUGGAACACCUGGUGGUGUGCAAGUUAGGGUUAAGGUAAGAAUCAACAGUACCACUGCAAAUAAGAUUGCCAAUAUUGGGAUUACCCUACUUUGAGAUAAAAUGAGGAAGAGCAUUACUUAGCUUCUCAUUUAGAGACAAAUUUGUUAGUCCUCCUGUGGCUCACAGGAGUAGCUGAGUGUUGGUUCCAUCUUUGGUUGCUUAACGUGUUUCCAGUUGUAUUCAAAAGUAGUAUGUCCAGCUAGAGAUGCCAGGAAACUUGAUAGCUAUUGGGGUGAGAAGUAUGAUAGUAAAAUUGUUCUUUUGUAAUGUGGUUAGUUGAGAUCUAGGAGAUCCACCUCUCCAGAUUUUAAUGAGGACUUGUUACCCUGCCUGGUUAUAAGGGUUGUUGGAGUGGGGGUCAAACUCAGAAUUGUUUGUCCAAACUCCUGGAUGGCCUCUUGAAAUUGAGUCAGCGAUUUUAUGUACUGGGUUAAUUUGGUAACCUCUGGGUAUAAUAUUAGGUUUGCAUGUAGAAAGGGUCUCUAAUAUAGGACUUCGAAGAAACUAAGGCAUAGAUGUAAUUUAGGGGCUGUUCUAAUCUGGAGAAGUGCCAUGGGCAG